CCUACGGGUGGCAGCAGUGAGGAAUAUUGGUCAAUGGGCGCAAGCCUGAACCAGCCAAGUCGCGUGAGGGAUGACGGUCCUAUGGAUUGUAAACCUCUUUUGUCGGGGAGCAAGGCCCGCCACGUGUGGCGGGAAGGAGAGUACCCGAAGAAAAAGCAUCGGCUAACUCCGUGCCAGCAGCCGCGGUAAUACGGAGGGUGCAAGCGUUGUCCGGAAUCAUUUGGCGUAAAGAGUUCGUAGGCGGCAUGUAAAGUCAGGUGUUAAAGGCGCAGGCUCAACCUGUGUAUGGCACUUGAUACUUGCAAGAUGGAAUGCGGUAGAGGUAAAGGGAAGUGCUGGUGUAGCGGUGAAAUGCUUAGAUAUCAGGAGGAACAUCGGUGGCGUAAGCGCUUUACUGGGCCGUAAUUGACGCUGAGGAACGAAAGCCAGGGUAGCAAAUGGGAUUAGAUACCCUAGUAGUC
rnacentral:rRNA from 1 species